rnacentral:rRNA from 1 species
GGCAACCUGCCCUUUAGACGGGGACAACAUUCCGAAAGGAGUGCUAAUACCGGAUGUGAUCAUCGUGCCGCAUGGCAGGAUGAAGAAAGAUGGCCUCUACAAGUAAGCUAUCGCUAAAGGAUGGGCCUGCGUCUGAUUAGCUAGUUGGUAGUGUAACGGACUACCAAGGCGAUGAUCAGUAGCCGGUCUGAGAGGAUGAACGGCCACAUUGGGACUGAGACACGGCCCAAACUCCUACGGGAGGCAGCAGUGGGGAAUCUUCCGCAAUGGACGAAAGUCUGACGGAGCAACGCCGCGUGAGUGAUGAAGGAUUUCGGUCUGUAAAACUCUGUUGUUUAUGACGAACGUGCAGUGUGUGAACAAUGCAUUGCAAUGACGGUAGUAAACGAGGAAGCCACGGCUAACUACGUGCCAGCAGCCGCGGUAAUACGUAGGUGGCGAGCGUUGUCCGGAAUUAUUGGGCGUAAAGAGCAUGUAGGCGGCUUAAUAAGUCGAGCGUGAAAAUGCGGGGCUCAACCCCGUAUGGCGCUGGAAACUGUUAGGCUUGAGUGCAGGAGAGGAAAGGGGAAUUCCCAGUGUAGCGGUGAAAUGCGUAGAUAUUGGGAGGAACACCAGUGGCGAAGGCGCCUUUCUGGACUGUGUCUGACGCUGAGAUGCGAAAGCCAGGGUAGCGAACGGGAUUAGAUACCCCGGUAGUCCUGGCC